UACGUAGGGAGCAAGCGUUGUUCGGAUUUACUGGGCGUAAAGGGCGCGUAGGCGGCGCGGUAAGUCACUUGUGAAAUCUCUGAGCUUAACUCAGAACGGCCAAGUGAUACUGCAGUUGCUAGAGUGCAGAAGGGGCAAUCGGGAAUUCUUGGUGUAGCGGUGAAAUGCGCAGAUAUCAGGAGGAACACCGGUGGCGAAGGCGGGUCUCUGGGCCGAUACUGACGCUGAGGAGCGAAAGC
rnacentral:rRNA from 1 species